CGAUUGACGAACACACCGGCUUUGUUGACACGGUGGGUGUGCGGGCCGGGUGCCGGGGGCGGGGACCCCCAGUGUUCAUACACUCACCACUACCGCUCUACUUGAAGUCCGGCCAACUACAGCCCCACGAGAGAAGGUAACGAGGACAGUCACUGUACUGAACAGCAACUACGAAUGAAUAUAGACGCACUGGUACUGACCCAACAUCUACCCAAAGUCCGUUCCAUCCAGCGGUCAAACCCCAAAGACGCUUUCAUCAAUUUGAGCAUGCUGUUCGUUCAAAACUAGAAUUUUUUUUAAAUAUAAACCAUUAGCAUAUUGUGCUUAUUUAUGCACUGGUUUGGUGUUUAGAUUCUGUGGGGGAUUAUUUGUAUUGGUACGUGGGUGAAGCAUUUACAGCGUUGUGGUUCUGACAAAAUUCGUCAGUGAAGUACUUGUUCCGAAAGUGUUCGAACGUAAUUAGUUUAGUAACAGCCUGUCCUUCAGAGUCCAUACACCCGCCAAACCCAUUGUUUAUGAAUGGAAAAAAACGGUUUGUACAAGACUCAAAACUGAUGUUCGAACAAGUGCUUAACUGACGACUUCUGUUCGAACCACAAGGCUAUAAAUGCUUCACCCACGUACUAAAUAAGAAUCGCAAACAGAAUCUAAACGCCUAAAAUAUGCCUAUAUAUGUACAAUAUGCUAAUAUAAUUUAUAUUUGAGAAUGUUUUGUAUAAACAGCACGUAAAAAAUUUAUGAAUGCGUCUGUGAGGUUGACCGCUGGAUGGAAUAGACUAGAGUCGAAGACGGGUUGUGUGAAAAAAAUUAAUUCAUAAACAGGGGAUUUGGAGACAUGGAAUAACUUUUGCGUCUGGAGGCUGGACCGCGUCACCACUUUGUAUUCUAAUUUAAGAGCUCACUUUCUGAUGGUACUUCGCGCCGAUUCAUGACUCAAACUUCGAAUUUAAAUACUAAAUUGCUACCUCAAA